rnacentral:rRNA from 1 species
GAUGAACGCUGGCGGCGUGCCUAAUACAUGCCAGUCGAGCGAACGGACGAGAAGCUUGCUUCUCUGAUGUUAGCGGCGGACGGGGGAGUAACACGUGGAUAACCUACCUAUAAGACUGGGAUAACUUCGGGAAACCGUAGCUAAUACCGGAUAAUAUUUUGAACCGCAUGGUUCAAAAGUGAAAGACGGUCUUGCUGUCACUUAUAGAUGGAUCCGCGCUGCAUUAGCUAGUUGGUAAGGUAACGGCUUACCAAGGCAACGAUGCAUAGCCGACCUGAGAGGGUGAUCGGCCACACUGGAACUGAGACACGGUCCAGACUCCUACGGGAGGCAGCAGUAGGGAAUCUUCCGCAAUGGGCGAAAGCCUGACGGAGCAACGCCGCGUGAGUGAUGAAGGUCUUCGGAUCGUAAAACUCUGUUAUUAGGGAAGAACAUAUGUGUAAGUAACUGUGCACAUCUUGACGGUACCUAAUCAGAAAGCCACGGCUAACUACGUG